GACGAACGCUGGCGGCGUGCUUAACACAUGCAAGUCGAACGGAAAGGCCCUGCUUGCAGGGUACUCGAGUGGCGAACGGGUGAGUAACACGUGGGUGAUCUGCCCUGCACUUCGGGAUAAGCCUGGGAAACUGGGUCUAAUACCGGACAGGAGCCAUUUUUAGUGUGAUGGUUGGAAAGUUUUUUCGGUGUAGGAUGAGCUCGCGGCCUAUCAGCUUGUUGGUGGGGUAAUGGCCUACCAAGGCGGCGACGGGUAGCCGGCCUGAGAGGGUGGACGGCCACAUUGGGACUGAGGUACGGCCCAGACUCCUACGGGAGGCAGCAGUGGGGAAUAUUGCACAAUGGGCGCAAGCCUGAUGCAGCGACGCCGCGUGGGGGAUGACGGCCUUCGGGUUGUAAACUCCUUUCGCUAGGGACGAAGCUUUUUGUGACGGUACCUAGAUAAGAAGCACCGGCUAACUACGUG
rnacentral:rRNA from 1 species